rnacentral:rRNA from 1 species
GUGCCAGCAGCCGCGGUAAGACGAACCACCCAAACGUUAUUCGGAAUUACUGGGCUUAAAGGGUGCGUAGGCGGCGCGGAAAGUCAGAUGUGAAAUCCCUCGGCUCAACCGAGGAACUGCGUUUGAAACUACCGUGCUUGAGUAAGACAGAGGUAAGCGGAACUUCGGGUGGAGCGGUGAAAUGCGUUGAUAUCCGAAGGAACACCGGUGGCGAAAGCGGCUUACUGGGUCUUUACUGACGCUGAUGCACGAAAGCUAGGGGAGCAAACGGGAUUAGAUACCCCUGUAGUCC